GGCAGCAGCAGAGCUCUGGCACAGGAAAACAGAGAUGGGUGGACAUCUGAAAUCUCCUCCCCUCUCCAACAAAGAUGCUGGCAUGCCAGUAGAUAAGGCAAAAGUAGUGCUUGAGAAAGUUAUUCCAAUGGCUCCUACAAUGCUAUCUAGAAGCACUGACCUCACAACACAGAAGAGCAAGGAGAAAAUCCACAGAUGGAAAGGACUGUGAUUGAGAGAGAACGACAUCACAGCAGAGAAGAGAUUUGAAAAUGGGGACUCACAGUUCAGUCUCUAAGUCACUAUGCCACUUUCAACUAUUUCAGGCAUAAUUUUGCCAUGUAUAGCUCAUUUGUGCUCUACAACUAACCCGGUCUGUGAUAUUAUUAAAACAACCUCUAGUUAUUUAAGCUGGCAAUUUGCACUGAAUGCAUUGCAUUGAAUAUAUUUGUGGUAA